CUUUUAAACUCUACUGCUGGAUGAGACCUUUAAAAUGUUUUUCAUCUUCUUGCUGUAGCUUUGGGGUUCCGUUUUUUCUUUCUUUCUUUUUUUUUGAAAGAAAAAAUAUUUUGGUUAUCGCGCCAACUUAAUUUCUUCUCUUUUUUUUUGUUUUAAUUUAUCCUUCAGUAUUUUUCCCCUCCUCCUCUUCCCCGAUGAACCUCUUCUCGGUUUGCACUUUGCAUGAAAAAGACCAGAGGAAAGACAUCAUGAAGUGUUAAAAAAUAAUCACAAAGCCACCUUUGCAGCAGCAACAACAACUAACAAUUCCAGCUGCAGUUUGCCAAGCUGCAAAAGAGAGAACCAACCUUUAUGCAAAAGGCGACUAGAAAGAGCAACCCGCUCUGAUGCAUCAUCAAUACUAUAGGCUCUGCAAAGGAUAAUAAAGAGAGAGAGAGAGAGAGAAACAGUCGGUGCAAAUUGGAGCGAAGGUUGCAAGGGGCUGGUGGCGAGAGAGAAGGAAAAUAGAUAUUGCAAAUAAUCACGCUGGCUCACCCGGUUGCAACUCAGAGCAGCCCCCUCGCUCCUGGUGCGCACCCUUUCUGGAGGACUGUCAGCAGCAAAAGGAUGGCAUCAGAACUGGCAAUGAGCAACUCCGACCUGCCCACCAGUCCCCUGGCCAUGGAAUAUGUUAAUGACUUCGAUCUGAUGAAGUUUGAAGUGAAAAAGGAGCCGGUGGAGACCGAUCGCAUUAUCAGCCAGUGCGGCCGCUUGAUCGCUGGGGGAUCGCUCUCUUCCACCCCGAUGAGCACGCCCUGCAGCUCGGUGCCCCCUUCCCCGAGCUUCUCGGCGCCCAGCCCGGGCUCUGGCACGGACCAGAAGACCCACCUGGAAGAUUAUUACUGGAUGACCGGCUACCCGCAGCAGCUCAACCCAGAAGCGUUGGGAUUCAGCCCCGAAGACGCGGUGGAAGCGCUGAUCAACAGCAGCCACCACCAGCUCCAGAGCAGCUUCGAUGGCUAUGCUAGAGGGCAGCAGCUGGCCGCCGCGGCGGCCGGCACUGGGGGCUCCAUGCCCGGGGAAGAGAUGGGCUCUGCCGCCGCCGUGGUCUCCGCAGUGAUCGCUGCAGCCGCGGCUCAGAACGGGGCACCCCACUACCACCACCAUCACCACCCGGCUGGGCACCACCACCACCAGCAGCCGGGCAGCGUGCAGUCCAGCAGCAGUAGCAGCAGCAGCAGCAGCACCGGGGGAGGAGGUGGCGGAGGGGGUCUGCACCACCAGCACCACAGCAGCAGCCUGCAUUUCGACGACCGCUUCUCGGAUGAGCAGCUGGUGACCAUGUCGGUGAGGGAGCUGAACAGGCAGCUCCGAGGGGUGAGCAAGGAAGAGGUGAUCCGGCUGAAACAGAAGAGGAGGACCCUCAAAAACAGAGGCUAUGCCCAGUCCUGUCGCUUCAAGCGGGUCCAGCAAAGGCACGUCCUGGAGUCAGAGAAGAACCAGCUGCUGCAGCAAGUAGAGCACCUAAAGCAAGAGAUCUCCAGGCUGGUCCGGGAGAGGGACGCCUACAAGGAAAAAUAUGAGAAGCUGGUCAGCAAUGGCUUCAGAGAAAACGGAUCCAGCAGCGACAACCCUUCCUCUCCAGAGUUUUUCAUGUACCCAAGAGAAUCUUCUACAUCGGUGAUGUGAAAAUGCCUGUUGCCUGAAGUAAAAAAAAAAAAAGAAGAUGGAGAAUCCUCUGUGUGCCAAGUUUCAGCCUGAAGCAAAUUCAAAUGGGAUUCACCGCAAAUGCUAAAAGGCAGAAGAUUCCUCAACACUCAACUGCUGGAUUUGAGAGCACAGGAUUUGUAUAUAGAAAUCAGGAGCUGGGAAGGCAUGGCUGCUCCAAGCACCCCCAUGAAAAUGCAAGAUGGAGGAAGAAGGCUAAUUAGUUUCCCUGAGGAUCCUGGACCAGAAAAAUGAUGCUGGAAUGCUGAUGGCUUAAGACAACUUUUUGGCAUGAAGACAGCUACAAAGCACAAAAAACAAAAUAUGAACUCAGAAAGAAACAAGAAAAAAAAACAGCAUUUUCAUGGCAUCGACAAGAAGCUCUUUAUUUUUCCUCAAGUUUUCUUUUCUAAAAAAAAAAUGGAACUAAAACAUUUGCAGAAACAAGACAAACUUUCUCUUCAGGUGACAAUAUUCAAGCAUGUUCUUUUACUAAAUUUAAAUUGAAAGAAAAAAAGAAAUUUUGAACAGGAUGCAGUAUCUGGAGAACUGUGAACCUUCAAAGACAACAAAACAAACUCUUUAAAACUGUGAACCAAGAAAUGGAAGGAACAACUUUUAAACCCCUGAUUACACCCUGUGUGUUAAGGAGACAACAUCAUCUUUUCCUAAAGCAACAAUAUUUAGGGAAUGGUUUGCAACGUACCCUUUAUUAUAAUCUUUUAAGGAAAACCUGCAUAUUUAAUGAUUAGCAGUGGAGUAAAUCUGACUUCACCAUUUCUGUUCAAAUGUCUUCUUGCACCUUCCUUUUCUAGACAGCACAGUUAUAUUUGCAGCCAGCGGCCAAGGGCAGGGAAGCUUGCUUUCUUUAUUACUAUUAAUUUUGUUUUUUAUUUGCCACACCCAAUAAAAACUUAGUAGGGAAAAGAAUAAACAGCUCUAUCAUCUCCUGAUCAGUG